UACGUAGGGUGCAAGCGUUGCCCGGAUUUAUUGGGCGUAAAGGGCGCGUAGGCGGCUCGGCACGUCCGUUGUGAAAUCGCCUGGCUCAACUGGGCGGGGUCAGCGGAUACGGCCGAGCUUGAGCAAGCUAGGGGGCAAUGGAAUUCCCGGUGUAGUGGUGGAAUGCGUAGAUAUCGGGAGGAACACCAGUGGCGAAGGCGGUUGCCUGGAGCUUUGCUGACGCUGAUGCGCGAAAGCGUGGGGAGCGAUCCGG
rnacentral:rRNA from 1 species